GGGGUGAUAGCCACCUGAGGGGUCACCCCUCACCACAUCAUUAUGUUUCUUGUCUAGAACUGAGGCGUCAGGACUAUCAAAAAAAAAAAAAAGUUAAAAAUAGGAGGAGGACAUAAAAAGGAAGAACUUGAGAGAACAACGACUCAGGGCUAAAAGCGUUUGCUGCCCUUGCAAAGUACCCGAGUUCAAUUCCCGGCACCUGUACAACUGCCUACCACUCCAGAUCUAGCAGAUGUAACACCCUCCUUUGUCCUACGCAGACAUGGUAGCACACAUCUUUGAUCCCUGCACUUGAGACUGAGGCAGGCAAAUAGGAGUUCGAGGCCGGCCUGAUCUUCAGUGGAAAUUCCAGGAUAGCCAGGGCUACACAGAAACUGUCUCAAAACAAAACAAGACAAAACCUCUGUCUCAAAAUAAGGCAAGAGGGCUACAAUGGGAUAGCUACUCCCCUCUGCACACUCCAACACAAGUGCAUAUACAAGACACACACUAAAUAAAUAAAUAAAACAGAAGAAAAGAACUAGAGGCAUCCCCAAAGUUGUUCCUGCUCAUUUAAAGGUGUCAACCUUGAUCAAGUUACUUGGUACCAGGAAUUAGAAAGUGCAGCAGGAAAACCACAUAGUGACUAAGCUAAGACCUCUCUCUCUGCCCGCUUCCCAUUUACCCUGAACACUGCCAGCAUACACUGAAAUGUGUGUGUCCUCCUAGAAGCCUUCCGGUGAGAGACCUGUGAACACUUCGCCUCUGAGAUAGCCGUGUAGGGUGCCCUCAAGCUUUCUUCAGUCCUGCUGCUGCCGCUUGGGUGCAGGCUCAUAGGCGUGUGUGGCCACUGUGCCAGACGUUCUUUGUACCAUUUGUAUUGCUUUUGUUCCCAGACUGGCUGAUUUCUUUUUUUCAAUUUUUUUUUUUUUUUGGUUUUUCGAGACAGGGUUUCUCUGUGUAGACCAGGCUGGCCUCCAACUCAGAAACCCGCCUGCCUCUGCCUCCCACGUGCUGGGAUUAAAGGCGUGUGCCACUACGCCGGGCCCAAUUUUUUUUUUUUUUUUUUUUUUUUGUGGGUGUGGCGGUCAGAGGGACAGUUUGAAGCAGUUGAUGCUCUCUUUCCACCAUUCAGGACCCAAGGCUCAAACCUGGGGCAGGUUUGGCAUCAGUCAUCUGUGCACACAGAUGUUUCAAUAGCUCUCAAUCUGAAUCUUUUUUCCUUCAUUUUUGAGCCCAAGGAUCUCACGAUGUAGCCCUGGCUGUCCUAGAAUUCUCCAUGUAGACCAGACUGGCCUUGAACUCACAAAGAUAGAUCCACCUGUCUUUGCCUCCCUAGCACUGGGAUUAAAGAUACGUGCCAUCAAUGGCCGAGCUUCAUUUUGAUUUUUUUUUUUUAAAAAGCAUGUUGUAUUCAAUUAGCACACAGACCUGAAAACUUUCAAAGUCUCAGCUCCAGGGUGUAUGUAAUGAAUUUGUUUUAAAUUACUGCAGCCAACAAUUCAGGACCUGGGCACAACCAAACUGCUUGGAGUUUGUGAAAGACAGAGCUAUGACUAGAUUUCCUCCCCCCCCCCCCCUUUUUCCUUCUUUCUCUUUAUUAUUUUUAUUUUGUUUUAUUUGAGAAGAGGGUGGUGUUCUCAUUUGCCUGUGGAGGCCUUGAACUUUCAUUGUAGCUAAACACGGCCUUGAACUCCUGGCCACUGGAACUCUUGGCUGUUCUGGUCCGCAGUAUUGUAAUCAACGGCUCUUGAUCCACAAGCAGCAUAGCCCGAUACUAGGUACUAAUAGUUAUCUAUUUGUUUGACUUUACAAUUUUUGUAAUUGUUUUGUAGUUGUAAUUGUUUGCACACUGCAACAUUUUAUCUGGAGUAGAAGAAGGAGCAGAAGGAAUCUCCUGCAGCUUGCUUUCAGAGAGUCCUCAGAGCCCUAGGGCAGGCAGAUAGGAGAUUAAGUCAUGCUGGACAAAUUCACACCUUUGAAUCCCCUGGAGGACCAGUGGUUGGAGGCAGAGCUGGAGAGGUGACAUCUUUAACACCUGUUCGCUCACUCACCAGAGGCUGCCGAGCCAAUGAGUACCAAGCCCUGGAGAUAGAGUACUAAAUUCUGGGACAAAGUUGCCACUCUUGGGAUUUGCCUGCAAGUGGAGGAGGCUGAUGUAGGAUUGUUACUCAACUCAGGACUGAACAUUGCAGUUGUGAUUGGCAUCACAAAGAAGAAAUUCGGGGUCCUCCAAAGCGAUUUCCAAUGUCGGAGCAGAAACUUCUCUUCCAGACUAUUACAGCAGCGGCAGCACAUUUAAGAGCACUCCCCACCCACUAAAGUACCUUCUUGGAAGCUGAGAACAGUUGGAGAACUUCUCUACAUUCCUCUAGUUUUCCACAGACUCUGCUGACCGCCCCUUCCUUUCCUCCCUCCCCUCCCCACUUUCCUUCCUCCCCAAGAGUGUCAGUUUCUGAAUGUUUUAGCUAAGUCCUUUUAGAACUGCACUGGAGCAGAGGGAAUACCUUGGCUGAUGGUUUUGUCCCCUCUAGGUGAUCGAAGUUAGCUUCCAACAAGUGCUUGAUGGCAGAAGAAUAUUUUGGGGUCUGCUGGGGAUGGUGGUACACACCUAUAAUCCAAGGUUGCAGGAAGCUGAGGCAAGUGGAUCUUGAGUCUGAGGCUAGCCUUAGCUACAGAGCAAAUUAAAAGCUAGCCUAGGCUACUGAG
rnacentral:lncRNA from 1 species